CGCGGGAAAUCUUACUAGAUCAGGACACUUUGAGGAUUGACAGACAGUUAUACCGAACUACGAAUAAUGAAUGGUCCAGGGUAGGCAAAAACUAAUAGCUCUUUUAUGAUUAUGUGAUAGGUGGUGCAUGGCCGUUCUUAGUUCGUGGAGUGAUCUGUCUGCUUAAUUGCGUUUCAAAACAACUGAUACACAGAGUCUUGGCACAGUUCAGUUUAAUGGCGUCGAGUAUCUUUGAUUUCGACAGUAGUCCAACUCGGUUCGCCAGGGUCUCUUUUGAACGCAACGGACGUGAUCGCAACCCUUUGUUGAGUGAUGUCAGCACUCUACGUCUAUCCUAGCUCGUUGAUCGCAAGUGAGAGUUGGGUGGGCAAACUCAGGGGACAGCUUCAACUAUUCUUCUUCAAACUAGAGGAAGGUUGCGGCAAUAACAGGUCUGUGAUGCCCUCAGAUGUUCUAGGCUGCACACGUGCUACAUUGAUCAGCACAAUGCGAUACAUUUCGAAAGGAAACAUCGGUUUUAAGGUAACGUCGAUUGCCUACCGAUAGCACCUGGUCCCCAGUGGACUGGGCAAUCUCUUCUAAAUGCUGGUAAGGUACCCACACUC
rnacentral:rRNA from 1 species